AGCCUUUCCAGGCGAAACGCAGCGCACAGCGCCCGGGCGGUGCCCAGCAUGGAGUGGGAGCUGAAUCUGCUGCUCUACCUGGCGCUCUUCUUCUUUCUGCUCUUCCUCCUGUUCCUCCUGCUCUUCGUGGUCAUCAAGCAGCUGAAGAACUCGGUGGCCAACACAGCCGGGACGCUGCAGCCCGGGCGCCUGUCACUGCACCGGGAACCGUGGGGUUUCAAUAACGAGCAAGCGGUGUAACCCAGCGCUGGGCUGGUCUCAGCUCCGCGGGGAUUCAGAUCUACGUCAUCUGGACCCAGGCUGGUACCCUUGACUCCUAUCACAGCCCUGCAAAGUUGGACAGUGGCUGGUGGAAAUCUUCUCGAGAAAGGCCAUCCCUUUCAUAUAUGGAGGAAGGCACUCUGCGCUCAGAAAUGCUACCUCUCUUCCUGCAGCUCCACUGUCAAUCCAGGAAUAUCCUGGGAGAUCGCCACUGGAGCUGCUUCCACUCACAGCCUGCGUACUGGCCAGCAGAGGGAGAAGAAACACUUCCCACACCCAGCGCUGUGCAAAAGAACUCUCUGUGAUGUGGAACUGUUCUAUAUCUGUGGUGCCCAAGGCGGCAACCGCUAGUUACAUGUGUCUAGUACACACUGAAAUGUGGCUA